AUCCAGCAGUCGCCAUCUUAAUAUUAGUGAUCCGAAAGUUAUGUCGUAUUUGUGGAUAUCGUGUUAAUGCUUGCGUAGCCCAAAAAUAUGCAGUUUCAAUGAUACAGCUAUUAAAGAUAUCGCCGAAACGCGUCGUUUGCAGUACAGAUUUGUGGUACUGCAGUCGCAUAAAGUCCGAUAACGGAAUAUAAUAAUGUUAUUUAGUUUGUAAGGCUCAUUUUUUCAGUUUUUUAGUGUCUUUCCGAUUUACAUGUGUGGUGUGUGUCACUGUAACAGCGUUCUUCUGUUUAUUGGAGGAGUGUUUGUUGCAGUGGGAGAUGCCUGAUGGCCACAAUAGUGUGCAGGACCCAUUAGGCUUCGAAGAGGACUUGAAACAUGAAGUGGAGUCAGCAAAUAGCGGCAUUGAACCAGAAAGGAACAAGUUCUACAGAGACAGUCCUGUGGCUCAAGUAAAUUUCUGACUUUUAUUAAAAGUUAAAACAGUGCAUUCCACUCAAGCAUCUCACUCAUUAUAGAGGGAUGCUGACUCAGUUUUUCAGGACAACAAAUGGGAAGAUGCAGUACAGAAAAUGGUCCAGAGAUCACCAGUGCGUCUGAGAUAGGAGUGAACAGCGUGGCAUUACAUUAUUUGUAAAAGAAGUAUUGUAUACCAGGAGUAAAUCUAAUGACUGUCUCUAACUAGAAGUGUGUAAAUGUAUGUGUAUAUGAAUUAGCUUAUUUUAAAUUGAUCUAAACUUGUAAAUAAUUUGCCAUGUCCUAUAUCCUUGUAAAAAGAGUUCUACAAAGCAAUAAAGCUAAUGCUGCUACUA